rnacentral:tRNA from 1 species
GGGGGAUUAGCUCAGUUGGGAGAGCGCCUGUUUUACACGCAGAAGGUCAUUGGUUCGAUUCCAAUAUCACCUACCA